UACGGAGGGUGCAAGCGUUAUUCGGAUUUACUGGGCGUAAAGCGCACGUAGGCGGAUUUGCAAGUCAGAUGUGAAAGACCAGAGCUUAACUCCGGAAUUGCAUUUGAUACUGCUUAUCUUGAGUAUGGUAGAGGGGGGUGGAACUCCCGGUGUAGAGGUGAAAUUCGUAGAUAUCGGGAAGAACACCAGAGGCGAAGGCGACCCCCUGGGCCAUUACUGACGCUAAGGUGCGAAAGCGUGGGGAGCAAACAGGAUUAGAUACCCUGGUAGUCCACGCUGUAAACGAUGAAUACUAGGUGUGGGAGGUAUAAACUCCUUCCGUGUCGCAGCUAACGCAUUAAGUAUUCCGCCUGGGAAGUACGGCCGCAAGGCUG
rnacentral:rRNA from 1 species